rnacentral:rRNA from 1 species
UACGAAGGGGGCGAGCGUUGUUCGGAAUUACUGGGCGUAAAGGGCGCGCAGGCGGCCUUAGAAGUCAGAUGUGAAAGCCCCGGGCUCAACCUGGGAACUGCAUUUGUGACUGUAGAGCUGGAGUGCGGCAGAGGGGGAUGGAAUUCCUGGUGUAGCGGUGAAAUGCGCAGAUAUCAGGAAGAACACCCGUGGCUAAGGCGGCUCUCUAGUACGGUACUGACGCUGAGACGCGAAAGCGUGGGGAGCGAACAGG